UGAAAGUGUCCGAAGUCACUGCUGUCUGGU
rnacentral:piRNA from 1 species